UACAGACACAGAGGUGUUAGGAUCACAGCGGGUUUAUACAGUCUUUUGUGCCUCUGGAUUCCCUGAGACGUGUCUGACCAGUGGUUUUAAACAGGAACUACAAUACCUCCUAUUGUAAUUAACAACUACAAUUUUGGGCUCCGGUGACCGGGGACGCUAGCCGGGUUGCCAUGGCAACAAGCUGCAGCCAAUGACAGCCAUUUCCGGGACGACGUCACCGGGACCACAGGCGCGCCUCCCCGACCUCCGGCAGCAGCAGAGCACACGCAUACAAGAUCUACAGGGAUAUAAGCUCCGGUGACCGGGGACGCUAGCCGGGUUGCCAUGGCAACAAGCUGCAGCCAAUGACAGCCAUUUCCGGGACGACGUCACCGGGACCACAGGCGCGCCUCCCCGACCUCCGGCAGCAGCAGAGCACACGCAUACAAGAUCUACAGGGAUAUAAGGCAACAUUAUUACUUGCCCAUUUAAUUGUUUAUAGGCAGGUGGAGAUUACUAAAUAUCCACAGCACUAAACAAUUUUAGGUUCAUAUAUAUCCCUGAGGAAGUCCUAUUACAGGGACGAAAUGUGUGGGGUUUUAAAAAUCAAGGUGUUUAGGAUACCCAGUAUACAUUGGAGAGUCCCCACCACUGAGCUCACAUCCUGGGGUUUUGGGUGGCACUCUGUUCUCCAUCUGUUUCUAUGUAAUCUGGUUAUUCUUUUGUGUACACCUUGUAUAUAGUGUAGAAAAUAAUACACAUUAUAUUUUUUGUUGAUGUUAUUAAUAAACAUCAGAAUUUUAUUAACCAAA